GUAGAUGUAUCCUUUUUACCUCACCUCAGUAACAACAUUAAGCUUUUUGCUUUGAAUAAAAGAUUCAAAAUUUCUUUCUGAGUGACUGGCUAUUUCACAAAAAUUCCAGAGAGAUAAGCCUUUCAUCUCUAGGUGCCCAGCCUGAAUCAGUAUGUCUGAAAUUUACUACCAUUUAAAAGCCAAGUGUUGACCUGUGUGAAAUGAAAGGUUACAAAAUAUAAUGCCACACAGGCAGAUUUCGACAUCUCAGGGUGACAUUUGAAUCAACGAUGCAACAGGAAAACCAGAAGGAAUGCAGAGGGUUAAAUUGCUCUGAAGGGAAGUGACUGCAGAAGCCUCACCUAGGGCACUUCAGACCAGAGUUCCUCAUCAGAGAGCUCUGAGCCCAACUUCUCAGCUGGGAGCCAUGUGCAGAAGUGCUGCACACGACACCAUGAAGACCACAGCUGCAAGCAGUGUGCAGAGAGGCUGUGCGGGACACCUCAGCCCCGAGCUGGUGGGCCACAUGCAGGAGCGCUGAGCACAGCACUGGGGUUCCAGAUGGUGGCCGUAUGCGCUGACGCUGCGCCCAGCACUGCAACCAGAGCCCUGAGCAGCACACCUACACUCACCCUCUCAGCCUCUAUAAAGCAACCCCAUCCCACCACUGGUCGGGGAGAGCCUGUGAUCUACAGCAGGAGCCUCCACCUCUCCAUUCUCUGAUCAAGGCUUUCCUUUGCCUCAGAACCAAACUCAGGCUUGUUCUACUGGCAUGAGCAACACCAGGCAGGAGGAUACUUGUUGGCAUGGGACUCAAGAAUGUCAGUAACUCCUUAGCCGAUGGCAAAGCAUUGAACUAACAAUACGUUCAGGCUCUCCCCUGUUUCACUGAAACCACUUUUGGAAUGAAAUACUCCACUAGAUGAUAAAUACUCCACUAGAUGAUAUCCUUGGGCCUGAUACUGUCACUGCUUAAACUGGCUGAAGAGAGUGAGUUCCCCCCAGCCCCUACCCCGACCUC
ensembl:lncRNA